GACGAACGCUGGCGGCGUGCUUAACACAUGCAAGUCGAACGGUGAAGCGCCUUCCUCUUUGGUGGGUGUGGAUGAGUGGCGGACGGGUGAGUAACACGUGAGUAACCUGCCCCCUUCUUCUUGAUAACCACAUGAAAGUGUCGCUAAUACGGGAUAUUCUGGAUCUGUCGCAUGUUGGGUCUGUGAAAGAUGUUGUUUCGGUGGGUGAUGGUCUCGCGGCCUAUCAGCUUGUUGGUGGGGUGGUGGCCUACCAAGGCGGUGACGGGUGGCCGGCCUGAGAGGGUGGAGGGCCACAAUGGGAAUGAGACACGGCGCAGACUACUACGGGAGGCAGCAGUGGGGAAUAAUGCACAAUGGGCGGAAGCAUGAUGCAGCGACGCCGCGGGAGGGAUGGAGGCCGUCGGGUUGUGAACCUCUUUCGCCAGUGAAGCAGGCAUGCCUCGUGUGUGGGUGGGUUGACGGUAGCUGGAGAAGAAGCGCCGGCUAACUACGUG
rnacentral:rRNA from 1 species